UUUACCUUUAGGAUUGACUGGUUUGAUCUCCUUGCUGUCCCAGGGACUACGUUAGAGUUUGGCAGUAAUGUGUAGUUCUACUAAAUGUUGACUUGAUUAAAUGAGCAAAGAGAAUUUGAGCCUAAGUUCGUUGUGGAGAUACUUUGGCUAUACUGCUAAUUUCAACCAAGAAGAUGUUGAUAUGUUCAGAAAAUGAAGUAAUGUGUGGUAAGGUUGAAAGUUUCAGAUAAGUUUCACUGUCUUCUUCAUGUGGAAAUAAUACUUUAGGUACCUGAAUCUCAGCCUUUACUGAAACAACAACAAACUUUGGAGCAGUGUUGAUAUUCUGAAAGGGAAAUCUAAGUAAAACCUACAUCUGUGGAUAACAUCUUGAGCACAUCACAAUGCAAGAGAUGAAUUUGAAAAAGUUUGCUGACCCUAUUGCUUGAGCACCAGAAUACAAGGGGUUAAUUCCCAAAGACUCCUACUUUGAGGACACCGAUAAGAACAAAACUCAUUCUGUAUCUGGCCUUUUCUUCAAUCACAAGGGAAUCUGCCAUACCUAAAAUGAACAAAUUAAGACCAAAUGGAAGAGCAGAUCUCGAUUGUAGAUUUAAAUUUUCCCAAACAGCUUUUUACAUAGUUCUAUUUCUUGUACUUUCCAGCCCUAAAACAUGCAACGCAUUAAAUCUGAUUUAUUUUCACUGCCUUUGGGUCUUUGGGUUUGCCCCCAGACAGUCAAAGCCCAGUCGUUGUUAGGGCUGGGGUAGGGGCAUUUUGUGUUGGGUGAAGCAGCAGCACAUCAUAUAAUGAGAAAUAAUUUUCUCAAACCUUAAAUAUUUCUCAGGGAUUUGUUUUACCUGAAGGGACAUUAACACUCUAUAGAUACUGGCAUUUCUGAAUUACAUGUGCUAGUGUUGGAAAAGUGUAAUAUUGAUCAUUGCCAUCCAGCAUCAUACUUAAAACAGUACUAGUAAGUGUGGUUUUGUAUUAUGAAAUACACUUUAUGGAACUUUUCAGAACCAGGUUGGAAUAUGUGUGGUGAUAACCUUCUUCUUUUUAAAGCAGUCUUAAAAUAAUUAUAAAUAUAUUUCUAGUUCAUCUCUGCAUUAUCAGAAGCAGAUGCAUUUGUUAUUUGAGACAGAAGAAAUAAAAGAACAAAGAAAGCAUAUUCUUGGAAUAUUGUGAGAGAGCAAUGUAGAAAAAACUGGAUAUUAAAAAUAUGCAUUAUCUUCUAGGUUUAGGCCGCUGGGAAAUAAAGCUUCUGUGUGUGGAUUUGAUAUAUAAAGACAGGCACAAAGAAAAAGGCAAACAUGCUAUGGAUAUUCUGGCAGGGUACAAUUAUACAGUAUGUUUCCUAACCCUUUUCAUGAAAAUUUGACAUUACUGUACCUCAGCUAGAAGCAGCAGGAAUCACCAGGGAAAGAACAGCUGGAUACUUUAUUAGGUUUUAUGUUGUACAUAAGGAGACCAUGUUUUCCAUUGUCAGUGUGUAAAAGCAAAUGAAAGCUCUGGGCAUCAUUAAGCGCUCGGAAGCGUUGGAUAUGUCAGCUCUGUUCUCGCAACACCUGGAUGGAAAGCGCGGUGUGAGGUCACUGCAAAACAAAAACAGACCGUCUGCGCUAGUUGGAAUUUCCAGAGUUGAUUUAUAAAAAAUAAAAUAGCCCAUCACUGUUGUAGAGGGAAGUAUUCCUUUGUAACUAGACACUUACAUACACAUAUGAAUAUAAAUGUACGGAUCUGUUUGAACAUGUUUUCUAUGUUAUUGCAGCUGACUGUCUCAUGGCUGUACUCUUAGGGAAACCAGGAGGCUCUUUGGAGUCCAGGAAGUCCACUCCCUAUUUUCUGGUCUUUAUGAUGUGAUGUCCUUGAUGAACCAUUCUCCCUGACUCUCCAUUUGGCCUCUUUUGUUCGAUCAGUUUUAGUGAACAUGUCUCCCAGCCCCCAACCCAACACACAUGUAAGUCUUAUUGACGUGAUCACUCUGCCCCGCCUUGUAAUUGCCUUUAUGUUGAGGACCCUAUAUCUGUCCCACAAAGCCCACUACUCUGUUCCUCAUACAGUGGUUUCCUUUUAAAGCACUGUAUUAGUCAGCUUUGGUUGCCAUGGCACAACAUAGAUCGGGUGGCUUAAACAACAGGAAUUUUUUUUUCCUCACCGUUUUGGAUGUUGCCAAGUCUGAGAUCAGGGUGCCAGUAUGGUCAGGUUCUGGUAAGAGCUCUCAUCCUACCUAACAGAGGGAGCCUUCUCACUAUGUCCUCACACAGUGCUGUUAGAAGAGUACCUAACCCAUAUGAGCAUAUUUAACUGUAAUUAAUUCCUAAAAAUGUAUCCUUAGAUACAGUCACAUUGGGAGGUAGAUACAGUCACAUUGGGAGGUUAGAGGUUCAAGGUAUAAAUUGUUCCAGGGGUGGAUACAAUUCAGCUUUUUAAAGAGCUUUUGACACAAUUUGAGUUGUAUACAUAAGAGAGAGAACUUUUUAUUUUUUUCUUCAUGUGAAGCUAUAAGAGGUAUUUGUAGAGUUAGACCACUUAUAUCUUCAACCAUGAGUUGAAGUAGUCUCUUGAUCUUCAUCAUACACUCAUAAUAAAUCUAGUAAACUACAAAUGCAAUUUGAAUAUUAAAAUAUACAGAUAUUUUGUAUUUAUAAUAUAAAAAGUAUUGUGUGUUCUAGCUAUGAUCUCUUCUUUAAUCAUCUUAAAAGAAUACAGAAGAUUGAGCGCUGAUUUCAUUCAUCAUUCAUGAAUCCACAUGUUUAUAUAUUUCCCACUGAUGAAAUGCCCAACCGUAUGCAUGAGAGGUACAGACCAGGAAGUAUAGGACGUAAAGAAAAAGCUGACAACAUUCUGCCCCUUAGCAGCUCAUCGUCAGCAAUAGAGUUUCAGAGCAGUAUGUGAAGUGCUUAGAAAUAAAAAUAUAAAGCAGUGCCCACCAUCCUUUGUAUAUGAGUAACUUUUCAGUGGUGAUACCAUCUGAUCAUGAGAGUAAGAUCACAGUUGAAGAAAGAAAGGCAGUAAACACAAGGCAAAGGGAACGGCAGAUGCAAAGCAAACAUGGGUACAAAAGAGUAUCACUGCAGCCGCAAGCCAGUGUGCUGAGUGGGAUAAGACAAUGAAAUGUUCUUAAUUUAUUUUUUGAUUGUGCUUCUACUGUGUGUCAGGUACCAGGUUAUGUGGGUUGGUGUUGAGGAGUACACAGGGAUGAAGUCACUGUUCUCAAGCUGAUGCUUUUAGGGGGAGGAGACAAUAAAUAAUUCCAUGAUCAAAGAGAGUUCCCCCAAUGGCUCAGCAGUAAGGAAUCCCCCUGCCAUGCUGGGUCGGGAUGAUCCCCUGGAGGAGGAAAUGACAACCCACUCCAGUAUUCUUGCCUGAAGAAUUCCAUGGACAGAUGAGCUUGGCAGGCUACAGUCCAAAGGGUCGCAAAGGGUCCAACACAACUGAACCACCUUAGCAUGCACGCCACAUCCUCUAACGUUCUGUUUUGUUGUAUUAUUCCUUACCCAUUAAGUUGUAUCAUUACUGUCCUUAAGAGCAUUAUGAUCAUCUGACUUUGAUUGCAAGUAAAUUUGUUGCCUCUCCAGCCAUGAAAGAUUACCCCAAAGCUUAGAGGUUUCAAACAGCAAUAAGUACUCAUUCUUCUUCACAGUUUGUAUGGGUCAAAAUUUGGGAUUCUGCUUUAAGAACACUCUCCCCAUUAAAGCAUAAAAACUAUUAUAAAGUAUGAGUCAAAUGUCAGGAAGGACUGGCUUCAUCUAAACUAGCUGUACUGAGUGGAGGAUCUACAUCCGACUUGGUUUACUUGUAUGACUGACUGCUGAGUUGGUGUUGGUCAUUUGCAGACCUGAGUUGCUUCCUUGGGGGCGGCGUCACAGGACUGCCUUUGUAUCCUCACAGCAUGGCACCUGGCUUCUCCUGGAGCAAUCCAAGAUCAGGUGGAAGCAGCAAUGUCAUUUAGGACUUAAAGCUUAGAAGUCACAUACCUUCACAUCCGCAUUAUGAGACUGUUCAGCCCUAUUCAGUGUGGGAGGGGACUAUCCACGAACUUAAAUACCAGGAUAUGAAGAUAAGUGGUGGCCAUCUUGGAAGUUGGCACCACAAGGAGAAAUACUGUUUUUAGUAUUUAAAGAAAUAAUAGUGAUAUUUGGAAUUGAAGUCAAAAAGAAAAAUUUCAACCAGUAACUGACAUAAUUAUCUUUGAACUUCAAUAUCAUAUUUGAUUUCUAAAGUACACACUUAUUAAAUGAUUUCCUUCUUCUGAUCAGGUACUUAAUUUAGCUUUACUUAAUAUAAUAAUGAUAUUAAACAACUUUGUAAAUCAAAAGGUGAAAAUAUAUGCAGAGAAUAAAUUAUGAAGACUUUGUCCAGCAUAAUUGAUGGUGAUUAUUUUCCAGUAUAGUCUUCAAUUCAUUGCUGUAAUAAUCUUUUCAACCAAUUAGCAGUUAAUUUAGUCGGUUAUGUUAAAAUGUUAGCCACAUUAUUUGCCAGUUAAUGCAGGUUAAAUGUUAAUUAUGCUGUUCUAUAGUGACUAACAUGGUACAUCCUGAAACUGCACUUAUUAUUGGUUGGUUUUUUGACUGUUGUAUACUCAUGUGCCUCAUUAUUAUUGUGCUAAUUUUAGUAGAAGCACAUCAUAUCCUGUGUCAUUUAAAAUAAAAUCACCAGUCUUACGUGCUUUCAAUCAAA